UUUUUCUUUUUCUUUUUUUUUUUGAGCAGCCAUUACAUUAAUAAUUAGACAACAUUUUGGGGUUUUUUUCCUAACCAAGAAUAAUAAGUCUGGAUUCACGUGCAACCAUAUGUGAAAAAUACAUAUAACUCAUCUUUUGUCACAGAUAACUGUAUCAUUGCCAUCCAUACCAUCUCAUGCUUGGAUGUGAUCAAAGGACUGAUGAAAAGUGGCAGGCUGAAAUGGAACACAGAUUACAUCUGGCAAACAGUGGAGGGUAAGGGCAGGGCAAUGGUUAUUCUUGCUUUUGUCACCUCUUAGCUGGGCUGAGGCUCUGUGACAUAUCUGAGUGUGAAGUCUACAGCCCUAGAAAAUUCCAGGUAACAUGGAGUAAAAUAGCUAUGUUUGUCUGCAAGUCAGGAUGCUGCAUUUGUAGCAAACCUCUCUCUGAGCUGCAUACAAGCUUUUCACAGCAUUUAAAAGAAAACUAAACACACUGAUAUCAUAAAAAUACUUGCGAAGUUGUGCCCAAGAUUUAUAAACUUCACUCUGUACAUCUGAGUGGAAGAGAGUCCUCCAGCUCUGUGCAUUUGGUGCAAAGGAUCUCUGUGAGCAGGGUGGAUCCUGCCCAUUCAUGCCCCACUGGGAGCAUCGCACUGAAAGUGAGCUCCUCACCUACUACUGCCAGAGACCCACCUCUGACCACUCCAGUCUCACAGCAGCAUGUGGAUUUAAAGAAAAACAAAUGAAAAUGUCUUCAGAAAACAAAAUGUUCUGCCUCUGCUUUUCCCCCUGGGGGAAGGAUUAUAGUACAAACAAGACAUGAAAGUUGUUUGUCAUAGUAUUUAAGUGCUCAGGUGCUCUCAAUACAGCAUCAGGAAAAACCCAUAUGAAUUAAAAUAUAAUAUUUCCUUCUCUGCUUCUUGCCUGCUUAUGUCAUGUCAUGUCAUGCCUAUCUUCUCUUUUCUCCCUUGCCUCAUCUUCAUCUCCCAUGGCAAUAUGAAAUACUGCUCACUAGCAAGCACAAGCACUGUCAGACACCUCACCCUCCUUCUUCAGCCCUCUGCUGUGUCGACAGAGGGGACCUUUGCAGGCAAGUCAGGAGCAGUGCAAUGGUGCUACCCUGCCAAAGCAUUGCUUAAAGUGCCUCGUUUGGAUGGCUCAAAAAGUGGAAGACUUGUUUUGGGUUACAUAUGAAAUAUUCAGCUAUCACUCUCAUUGCACAAAACACCCACGGGUCUGUAUUUCUAAGCAUAAUGCUGCACAUGGCUGCAAGGAGGAUUUUUCAGGGGCAAGAGGUUUUUUCCCACCUAACUAUUGCUUUACACCUCAUGCCACUCAAAGUAAAUGGUUGCAGUCAAUUCAGGAAUGCUACUGCUGCCAUCUCCUGAGAAAAGCUAGGCUGAGCAUGUUUAAUGGAGUUACAGAAGCUGCUGCCAGAAUGUCUGCCUAACCCUGUCCUAAUGAAAUGGGGUCUUUUGGCUGGACUAGACUAGUCUGUAAAUGAGUUAUAUCUAAGAUUACAGUUAUCAAACUAGAAAUAUGGGAUCCAAACCACACGUCUAGCAGUUGCCUGGAAAUCUCAUUUACAGAUGUAACAUUAGAUCAUAGUAUGGGAUGUGAUUAAUCUCUCCUUCCCAAAGGCACACAAGAAAUCCCUGCUCUACUGGGCCAUGGAGACCUCCAAGUCCACCUAACUGGGAGACCUGAAAUUUUGAAUUCAGAGACAUAAAUGCUGGUGUGACUCUAAGCCGAAAUUCUUACCUUCUCUCAUAUAACCCUGAGCAUAGAAAUUUUGAGGAAAACUGUCACAAACUACCAUAAAUUUUAAAACCAUCAAGGGAUAAUAUGAAGUCUUCUCAGGUAAUCCUGAGUCACCACUGAAAAUAGAAUCAGCCUCCUUCUCCAACUAACAUCAACAGCCCUGUGAAAUUUCCAUUUAUAAAAUCCCCAGAUCCAAUUAUUAAUUUUCCCCUUUUCCUUCUCCAUAUGUGCAUAUGUGAUUGCAUAUAUUCUCACAGACAACAAAAUGUUUCAUACGAAACAGUAGUUUAGUUGCUCAUAGGAACAACCAUGUGGGUGUAAAAAGCUUUCCCAGAAUCUUCUUUUUCGUAUAUGGAAAGCAGUAUCUUACACUAUAAAAUCCAAAAAAUGUUCUAAAACUGCAUAUUAGAUACAAUACCCUGUGAAAUAUGGGGUGAUAGACAGUAGGAGUGCCAAUCAUUUCCAGAGCUUUCUUCAUGAGCAACACCUUGACACACAGUCCUUGCAUGAAGCUGUGCUACCUUGUCAUCUGUGCCCUGCUGCUGUUACUGAGAUUUCUUUCCCUUUCACUCCUUAACAGUAAUGUUCAUCCUGAUCUUUGUAAAGCACUUCAACAUGAUGCUUCAAAAUCACUAAGAAAGUAUUAAAUAAUAUUAUCUGAUUAUAACUCCUGUAUCAACCAUGGAAAAAUAUUUUCUGUGUUUGCCCAGAGCUAAUGUCUACAUAACAAAUAUCCCUAUAGUAAUAUGACUAUUUCUAAUUUUCUUUCAAAUUACCAAUAAGACUUUGCUUGACUUUCAAGAUGAGAUGUUUCUGCUUUUAAUUUCUGAAAUUGAAAAAUUCUACCAUUUUUUACAAUAAAAAUUCACCUUUCUUGAUCACAGACAUGGUAGUGCUGAUAUUCUUCUUUUCCUUUAGCCAGCCAUAAAGAAAGAGAAUAAAAAUCCUUUGAAAAUACUCAGUUUGAGAGCAGAAGAAUAACUUUAGAGCUUCUGCUCCCACUGUCCUCUAUCCUAGAUAACUGUGUGUCUCCCAUCUUGCAUCCCACAGUCUUUCUCUAGGCUACAAAAUAUGAGCCAUUUAGUUUUGGCAGAGUACUAAAAGCAGUAAAAGGUUGCUUUUUAACCUAAUAUUCAUCAGUCAGCAGAGAUGGGGGUAUAGAGAAAUGGACAGGAGUACUGAGGGGUCAUGACCUUGCAAGUCAUUCAGCUUUUUCACUGCAAACUUAUUACCAUGGGUAAGGUACAGGGCUUCCCAGAGGCUGCUGACCUCUCCUGCUGCUGCAGUGGGUCUUGCCAUGGCACUGGCAGAGGAGUCAGCACUCAGGCAGAGUCCAGGAGGACUGUGUUGCUAGCUGGAUUGUGGCUGCCAUACUCUGCUCAGCUGUGACAGCAUAUGCUCAGCAUUCAGAGCCAGAAAAGGACAUGAUGCUGUCCUUGCACACUCUGAGCAGCUAGCAGCCUUCUGGGGAGUGAGGAGAUGGACAAGUGUCAGGCAGAGAAGGGGAGCCAAACUGAGUGUCAACAGAACCAGCAGAGAAAAGAGGAACGAGAAGGACAAAAGAGGAAGGGAUGUGCUAAAUGGCAUAAGGGCAGAGAGGGGAAGGAACAAAAUGCUGAGGGAGGGAAAGAACCCGUGACAGUGACAGGAAAUGUUUUCUUAUCUAUGAAAAGAUCCAAGUAGAAAAAAAAAAAAAAAAAAAAAAAGGCUAAAACCUCAAUGCUUGGAGUUCUCUGACAAAAUACCUUCCUUUCUUUGGAAAUGGCAGUCCUCAGAGCAAGUUGCAAAUUCUGCUUCAACAAAGCUACCAUUGCCACUGCAGUCGAAACAGACUGUUAAGGAUCCUGUGUUAAUAAAAAGCUGGAUCCAUAUAGAAAUUACCUUUGCAGUAUCAUCUUCUAUGUGUAUGUGUUAGAAAUAAUUUCAGUAAAAGCUUAUCUAAAAAAUACCACUGGGAAGAAAUUCUCUAUUCUUUCAUUCUAGAAGGAAUAGGUGGUUUUGCUCAUAUUGUCUGGAACAAAUUAGAGCAAUGUCUGCUUUGUCCCCUCUUCCUACCACACAUCUUAGCAAUUUUUAUCCCAUCAUCAACUUUAGGACAUGUUCCUCCAUGGGAGCUGAGGGUAGUGUGGGUAUUCAUAGUGAGGGAUGCCAGGAUAACCUAUCCACUUGGGCUGUUGGAGCUUCCAGGGGAGUGAGUACCUGAAUUCCUGCAACAGGCAUCUUCAUUUUUGUAGCAAGAAGCUUCAUGCUCUGGAUCCAGAAAAAAAACUUUACCACA
rnacentral:lncRNA from 1 species